GAUGAACGCUGGCGGCGUGCCUAAUACAUGCAAGUCGUACGCGCAGCGAAAGGUGCUUGCACCUUUCAAGCGAGUGGCGAACGGGUGAGUAACACGUGGAUAACCUGCCUCAAGGCUGGGGAUAAACAUUUGGAAACAGAUGCUAAUACCGAAUAAAACUUAGUAUCGCAUGAUACAAAGUUGAAAGGCGCUACGGCGUCACCUAGAGAUGGGUCCGCGGUGCAUUAGUUAGUUGGUGGGGUAAAGGCUACCAAGACAAUGAUGCAUAGCCGAGUUGAGAGACUGAUCGGCCACAUUGGGACUGAGACACGGCCAAACUCCUACGGGAGGCUGCAGUAGGGAAUCUUCACAAUGGGCGAAAGCCUGAUGGAGCAACGCCGCGUGUGUGAUGAAGGCUUUA
rnacentral:rRNA from 1 species